rnacentral:lncRNA from 1 species
UUUGAGUAAUGGAGUCAAAAUUUCAAAUACUAAAAUGUGAAGUGUCGAUCAAUACUCAAGUCUAAACCCGCCAUUUGAUUCAGAAGUGCAAGACCCUACACAAAACCCCCCAUUGGCCUCCAUCGCCACGCCAACUCGUCAGGGUUUUGCUUCAAUCGACUCUUUCAAUUUCAUACUUCCGAUAGAACAAGGGUAUGUUCCAAUUUGUCGACGAUUUAUCUUUCUGCUUAGUUAAUCUUGAUAUAACUAUGGACGAAACAUCAGGGACGAAAACUGCACUUUAUUCUAAUAAAUAG